rnacentral:lncRNA from 1 species
GUUUUGCUUAAAGUCUACUAGUUUAGGCAGAAAUAUGAAAUUAAUAGUCAUGUCAUUAACGUGACAUUUAAGCUAUCAAUAUCAUGGAGCCACAAACUUUAGAGUCAGAUUAGGAAUAGGUGUAAGGAUAGAGUUAAAGGAAUUAAGUUGUGACUAGGAGAAUCUUUUAAAUGACAUGCUUGGGACUUUUUAUAAAAAAAUUUUCAGUUGUAAAUGGCCGCAAUAUCUUUUUAUGUAUUUAUUUUUAUGUUGAACCCAGUGCCUCAAACAUAUGAGGCAAGCUCUCUACCACUGAGCUACAGUCCCAGCCCCCAUGCUUGGGACUUUUGAGCACUUUUCUGGGUACAUAAAUCUCAAAGAAACUGGGUGUUAUGGCAAACACUUGUAGUCCCAGCUACUUGGGAGGUUGAGGUGAGAGGAUCAUUUAAGUCUCAGAAUUGGAGGCCAACUUGGGCAGCACAGCAAGACUCCUCUCUCAAAACACAAAACAAUUUGUGUAAGAUGUGUCAAAAUGCAUUCUACUGUCAUGUAUAACUAAUUAGAACAAAUAAAAAAAUACCCCCCCAAACAAAAUAAACAACUCAACACAUGACAUAAUCUUAUGAUUAACAAGUUUAAUCUAUAAUUAAAGCAGUUUAGAAAGACAUUUCCACAGUGUUAAAGCAUAGAUUAAACAGAUGCUGCUAAGUAGAACUAUCUAAUAUUAAAGCAAACAGAAUGCCCAUCUUUCUUUGGUUCCAGAGAGCUCAGUGGUACCAACUCCAGAAUUCUCAAUUUGUCCGUGAAUGUGGACAGUUAUUCCCAUACUCUAUACUCUCU